rnacentral:rRNA from 1 species
AUGCUUAGGAAGAUGUUCCAAGGUGGUUCCUCUAAGAAGCAAGGACCCAGGAUUGCUAUGCGCAAUGCUGACGAGGAUCCACCAAGAGACGCUCUAGUACGGCCUUGUGAAUGGCCGUCGGAAAAUUUUAUGGACCGUGCGGGAAUUAAAGAACAAUUCAAAGCAUAUUUGCGCAAUGCCGGUCUUGAGGAUUUUGAGGCUAACAAAUGCCCCCAGUAUCAUGAUCUCACAAGUUCAUUUGUAAGGAGGCAAAAGAAAGAUAUAUUAUUACCAGAGAGAAGUCAGAAGAGUACGAGAGGAGAGAGGAGGCAGCUCGACUCCACGCUGCAGCUCAGCAGGCGAUAA